GUGCGUGUGUGUCUGUGUGUGUGUGUGUGUGUGUGUGUGUGUGUGUGUGUGUGUGUCCUAUCUCCUCCUACCGUCCUAACCACGCUAUUUCUGGGGAGGAAGUUCCCUUUUGGAUCGGCUCUUACCCGUGUCAGCUCCGACUCGGAGACAGAGCGGUGCGGCGGCGAGCGGCGAUGGUACACGGGCGGGCUGACGUCCUGGUAGGUCGGGCUGUCGUCGUCCAGCAGCACGCCCCCCGCGUCCACAGACUCCUCCUCUUCCUCCAGCUGCGAUGUCAUGUCCUCCGGGCGCAUCUGGUGGUCGAUGCCAUUCUGGCUCAGGUUGCAGUGAACAGCUGUGAGGGCAAGAAGGCAAACAAACAUGUCGUUGAGCGAAAGAUAAGGGUUUGUUGUUCGCGGGACGCGUCAGGCCCAGACUCUAUUUUGGUCUCUCUCGUCAUCAGGCAGUGAUGCAGGCGCAGAAGAGAUGGCGAGCAGUGAGAUGUGAGGUGUCACUGAAAUGGGCCAUUUGUCAUCGUGCAUCAUCGUGCAAUCUGCCCCUUUAUGAAAAAUAAUUAUAUAUAUACACGGUCGGCUCACUAAGGCGGAGCAGUAAGCCGAAGACUUUUUUUCCAUCACACCUGAAAGGAUGCUAUGGUUUCUAAUGCAGCUCUUGAUUAAAAAAAGGUCAAAACAAAGUUGUCCCCCCCCCCCCCCCCUCCCCAGAGGCAGCACAUUCCACUUUGUUUGAUGGUCUGAAAAGAACGUCUGGAACUUAAAAACACAACAGAGAGAAGAUCUGCAAGAAAAAGCACAUCGACAUAUUAAGAUGCAAUAGACUGUUAACGGCCUACAACCCAAAAACACUUCAGAGUGAAAUUGAACACAUAAGAAGCACAUGAAGGCAGCCAAUGGAACAAAUGUCCACAGUAAAUGACUACAACUUCAAUUCAAUCAAGCCGCAACAAAUUGCACACACUCAUAGAUAUCAGUCCCCUAAAAAUGCUUCCUUUUGUCAAGAUCCAUGAAUUAUUUCCUUGGAAAUUGGUUCGCGCAAUGUUACAAACCCAAAAAUGACAGCCAUAAAUUGGCCAAACAGCAAGACUGGGAACGCAGCCAAUUAGGGGCUAGUUUCACUGACACUGUGGCUGAGCGAUGACAACAACUCUGACACGGUAAAGUGAAACAUGACGACGACGACGACGACGACAACGGGAACAACAUCGGUGCUGUCGCUCCAUAUCACCGCAGCAAGAGUGUGUGAACGUGGCUGUGGCCCCUGGGAAAUCCUCAGGGAAGAAUCCUCCGCCGCGACACCAGAUCCCACCCUCCGUCUUCUCAGAGCUGCGUUGAACGGGAUUCAGCCUCUUUGCUUUUCACUGGUUGGGGAAGCGCGGGAGCAUUUGCAGUACACACUCACAUCUUUUUGGCUGUACAUGGUGAAUGGAGUGGUUUUUAUACAGAGUUUUUUAUACAGACCCAAUUCACCUUUUAUCCACACACACACAUUCAUACAGCGCCUCUAUACACACACCACUUUUUCUUUCACGCAUCAUUCAUACACAGUCGUCAGGGGCAGUUUAGGGUUCGAUGUCUUUGCCCGAGGACACUUCAACGUGUGGACUGGAGGACCCAGGGAUCGAACCAUCGACUUGUCCUGACUC